CAGUCGCCACGGUAAUACGAAGGGUGCAAGCGUUAAUCGGAAUUACUGGGCGUAAAGCGUGCGUAGGCGGUGAGUUAAGUCUGCUGUGAAAUCCCCGGGCUCAACCUGGGAAUGGCAGUGGAUACUGGCUCGCUAGAGUGUGUCAGAGGAUGGUGGAACUCCCGGUGUAGCGGUGAAAUGCGUAGAGAUCGGGAGGAACAUCAGUGGCGAAGGCGGCCAUCUGGGACAACACUGACGCUGAGGCACGAAAGCGUGGGGAGCAAACAGGAUUAGAUACCCCCGUAGUCCCUGUCUCUUAUAC
rnacentral:rRNA from 1 species